AAACCCAAUGCUUUCCUCCUUGCCCCUCCCCGCAUUGCACCACGCACCACCUUGAGAAUCCUGUAACACUGUAAGUACUGUGCAAGUAUCCUACGAAUGUUUCCCUCAAAAUGAAGUACUUUAAGGAUGCCAAGGGCGCUGGGUCUCAGUGAACAGUGAGAACACCGGAUGUGGCUAAACACAAGUCAAAAUUUUGCCUCUUCAGAAUCUAUGGCCUGGUCCAAGCAAUUCAAUCUGACGGAGUUCCUGCUAUUUUUUCACACAAGCAGUAACAACCCCUACAUACAAGUCCCCUUCCUCAACCUCCUGCUACUACCUCCCUCCACACCUGGGGGAUGUCCCAGGGAUUUAGGGAGGGGGCGGGGUUAGAGUGCAAAGUCAGGCCAAGAGACCCUUAGGCCCUGGCUGGGGUCUGGGGUCUCGCCCACAGCGACCCCAGAUCCCGGUGGACUAGACCUGGCCUCCGCCAACGCGCCGCCGCUGCCACCACCUAUCAGCAGCGCGGGGCGGGGCUGGUUGGCUAAGCUGCGGAUCCGCCGAAAGGCGGGGACGGCGAGGGACCCACGGUCUCCCAACUCAGGCCGCCAGGAGCAUACACUGGGCCCAGCUCCCGAGGGCGCCAGCUCGGCCCCAGGGAGCAGGCAAGCGUGCAGCCUGCCUUUGGUGGCAUUGUCCGCCCUGCGCCCACCCACCCAGGAGGUGGGGUCCAAACCUCCAGGAAGAUGGUGUCCUGGAUGAUCUCCAGAGCCGUGGUGUUGGUGUUUGGAAUGCUGUAUCCUGCAUAUUAUUCAUACAAAACUGUGAAAACCAAAAACGUGAAGGAAUAUGUUCGAUGGAUGAUGUACUGGAUCGUUUUUGCUCUCUAUACUGUGAUUGAAACAGUAGCAGAUCAAACAGUUGCUUGGUUCCCCCUGUACUAUGAACUUAAGAUUGCUUUUGUCAUAUGGCUGCUCUCUCCCUAUACCAAAGGAGCCAGUUUAAUAUACAGAAAAUUGCUUCAUCCACUUCUCUCUUCAAAGGAAAGGGAGAUUGAUGAUUAUAUUGUACAAGCAAAGGAACGAGGCUAUGAGACAAUGGUAAACUUUGGGCGGCAAGGUUUAAACUUAGCAGCUACUGCUGCUGUUACUGCAGCCGUGAAGAGCCAAGGGGUAAUUACUGAGCGCUUACGGAGUCUGAGUAUGCACGAUCUGACAGCUAUCCCAGGGGAUGAGCACGUGGGACAAAGACUGUACCAGCCUUUACCAGACACAAAAAAGAGAAGUAAAUCAGCUGCCAGUGAAUCAGCAGGUGUGCUCCUUUGUUUUAAUAUAGCAUUCCUUCACAAUUGGGAUUUUGAGUCAAGACUAUGGAAUUCCACUGAAAGACGGAGAUGAGAAAACAGAUGAAGAGGCGAGUGGGCCAUAUUCAGAUGAUGAGAUGUUAACACACAAAGGGCUUCGAAGAUCACAAAGCAUGAAAUCUGUGAAAACCGUGAAAGGCCGCAAAGAGGUGCGGUAUGGGUCACUAAAAUACAGAGUGAAGAAGAGACCGCAGGUGUAUUUUUAGUCAUGUACACUUCAAGCAUCCCAAGACAAAUUAUGCUAAAGCACCAACCUUUUUUUCUAACAUCAUACAUUCAGGAUUUGUGCACUAAAAUAAUUCUUUAAAUUGUGGCAGUGAUAGGGUUUAUUUUCAUUAAUUUAAAUACUUUUUUAUUUCUUUAAUAAUUACUUUCGAAUGUUGACUACUAAAGGUAGUUAUGCAAAAUAUGUGUGUAUAUAUAUGUCAGAAAUAAUAGAAAACUGUUAUCUAUUUUCAAAUUCAUCAAAAACAUGGAGUGCCUGGGCUGUAAGAGGAAGCACAAACCCACAGUAUACUUGAAAAGAGUCUUUUUAUGGUUCAAGAUACAUCAGUCUUUGCGUUAUUGUAUUGUUUACCUCCAUUUAUGUCAUAGCUAUCACAUGAGGAUGGUAAUUAAAUAGGCCUCUAAUGCAGCAGUGAUAGCACAAGGCAUAAUGUGAGAUAAGGUAUGUUUUAUAUAUUCUUUAAAUUUUUACUUUUUUAAUACUUUAUAGUUUUUCCACCAUCAGCUGAAAGUUUUCAAAACAAAUAUUUGAAAACCAGGUACCCACAUAGCACUUUUGUUCGUGACUAGUUUUGCACACUUGAAAAUUGUUUACUUAUUUUAUGACUGUACGUUUUAAGUUUUACGGACACUAUCUUUAUUAUUUGUCAUAUUCUGACAAGUCAAAUUUAUGCCUUGAAUUACAUCAUCUCUUUUCCUGUGGGUUUCAUUCGCUAAAUUUGUUUGAUUUUAAUAGUAUAAAAAUAUAGCUAGUUGUUUGGUUCUAACUCUUCUUAAUUAUCUUCUUUACAGAUAAGAAAUUAUUUAAGUGAUUAACCAGUUUUAUGUAUUUUGGCUGUACGUUGUAGAGUUGAACUCGGCAUGUUUUUAUUAACACUGGUUACAUUCUCAGAUUUUAAAAGUGGUUGCUUUUGUGAAAUAGAGUUAGAAACCAGUAUGGCACUUAGGUCUUUUCUAAUUCAUGACAAUAUCCAGCAGCCAGUUUAUUCACAAGCUUGGCACUUAUAUGUGCUGCUGAUUUCUAAAUCUGGCAUUAACUAGAAUAACUUGGAUCACUUCUUUUCUGGCUAGAAUAAUUUCCUGGAGAUAGUUGCCAGUGGAAAAUGAGGAUGUUGUUAAUAUCGCAUAUUAGAAGCUAUUAGAAUAGAUAUUAGAAAAAUACCAUUUUUUAAUCCAAGAUAUUUUUGAAUUACUAGACUGAGGCAUUUUUAGGUUGCAUUGAUAGCUAUGCAUUAUGAACUAUAAGUCAAUAUAGUGGUGAUGGUUUUAGUAGUCAGUAAUGAAAUUUGUACAAUUAUACUUCUCUAGGUAAUCUACUUGAUAAAUCUACUUGUUUGUCCAAAAGUAUAAAAACAGUGAGAAAGAUUUGUAAGAUCUUUGACUUUUCUACCUUUUAAGAAAUGAAGCCAGCUGACAGUGUAUAUUCGGGACCUCCUCAAAUUGGUGGGAGAGAACAGAAUAUUUACUCAGGAGCACCUUAGUGUAAUUCAGACAUUUCUCUUGAUACAAGUCUUAAAAUAUUUCCUAGAUUAUCUCACAUUCUUAAUAUGUAACACCAAGUAAAAAUUCAUUUCAAUUUCUUUUCUCCCAGUUUAUUUCUAUGAGUAUGUCCAUCUACUUUACUAAUUUUUAGCCUCUUAAUUUCUGGAAAGACUCUUUGUGUUCAAAACUCCCAUGAAUUCUGAUUAUAAACUUUGAAAGCGUUUUAUUUAUAUUACAUGAUCCUAGACUUAUCAGUAUAAAUGCUAUGUUCCAUGUUUGUCUUUCCUGCAUGAAGGCAGUGUCAUCUCAAAUUGCCUGACAAUGUUAUGAGAGUGACUUUGGAUCAAAAACAUUACCUGUGGGGGCUGAUUUGCACUGUUAUAAUCAUUUUGAAAUCUAAUUUCAUUAUCAUACCUAUUCAUUAAUCACAGUAAACUCAUACUUUUCUAAAUUGGAAGAAUUAUGAAUCCCUCCACACUUCUAGAAUCAAAACAUUUCAUCAAAGACAACACCAGUUUCAAAGAGGUAAUGCAAGUCCUUGUGUUUAAUUCUCUUCACACUUACAGUGCUUCCUCUGAUAUAUUCUGCUGCUUAUAUCCUUAUAUGCAGUGAUGUCAUUUUGCUGUUGUUAUUUUCUUACUCUCCUUUUCUUACAUUUUGUAAAUUUUGUUUCUUUUCUCAUGUAUUUUAGCAUGCCCUUUCUUUUGAACUUUGUAUAAUAAGCUUAUGAAUUUUAGUUUCUUUUAAGGUACAGCAGGUCAUUUUUUGUUUCUAUGCUUUUGAGUCUGCAGCUUUUAAAAAAGGUAUAUUUGUCCCCAGACCACAGUGCCUUGCUUUCUCCACUACCACCACCUGGUGAACGGGCAUCACAUGCUGCACAAGCCUAUUUUGGUAGCUGGUAAAGUUUAUGCAGAAAUUGUAGCCCUUUUAUCGUAUAUGCAUUCAACUUGUUCAAUAAUGUUAACUGUUUUCAGAGUUUACUUGCAAGUAAGAAUUGUUCUAUACUUUAAUUUACCAUAUUUUUUCUGGUAUAAAAAUGAGCCAGAAGUAAGCCUGAUUGCUAAGUAUUUAAUUAUAUAAACCCACCUAAGUCCUGCAUAAGGUUUCCUCCAUACAUUUUACUAUACAUCUGGAUUUGGCUAGCAAGUGAUACUGCCAGCAUUACUAAUGAUAAAUACUUGACUACACAGAUUGAUGGAACAACACUGUUAGUGUUUUCAGGGAAUUUACUCCAUGUGUCACCACCAAAGAUUUCUACAGUGUUACAACGUAUGUAAAUAUUCCAAAUUUCUGUGAGGCAUUGGUUAGAUAAAUAUAUUGUUGUUUUUUUAAUAACACAGUUUAUGCUUCUGGAAUGCUUGAACUUUUGUGUUGUUAAAAAUAAUUCAGUACUAUCUUUAAUAUCGAUAAUUUGUAUUUUUAAUUGGAAUGGACUAAAUUUUUAUUUUCAUACUAUCAGGAAACUUAAGGAGUUAAUGUGUAUUGGAUAGCAAUUUCCUGUUGUCUUCUGUGUGGGCUGAUUGAUUUGCAAGGCUAAUAGGUAAAUUUUGAGAAGGUCAUUGUUAGUGUGAUAUGCAGCGUACGUUUCUUAGUAAACACCAUUGAAGAGUAAAGCUUUCUGAAAAGAAAAUACAGCUUUUCUCUCUACAUGUUUUUAAGAUAAAAUCUUCUAAGGUAUCCUACAGAUAUAAUGUGUAUUAAUUCUUCAACCAUUGACCAUGAAUUAACAUUUUUUUCUAAAAACCUUUUAAAUCUAUGUACUUUAAUAGUUAAGAGAAAGCAAUUUUGCAAACUCUUUGUAAAGGCUAUCUUUGUGCCUAAUAGAGGGGUAACUUCACAAAUGUAUUUUUGAAAACUUUAAUGUAAAAUAAACGUUUUAUUAGUGACAA